CACUUUUCUCAUGACAUGACCCCUUUAAUAUUAGUAGUAGUAAGGUUAACACUUUACAAUAAGGUUCCAUUUGUUAACAUUAGUUUGCAUUGCCAUUAGGUAUCAUGAACUAACAAUGAACAAUAUUUUAAAACAGUAUUUGUUAAUCUUGGUUAAUGUUAAUGUAUGAAAAUACUAUUGUUAGUUCAUAAUGCAUUAACUUCUGUAAUUGAGUCCUUUUGAUUAUAUUUAUCUGAUAAAUAAAUGCUCUAAUGAAAAUGACACACUCAAACUCAUUUUACUUUCUGGAAGAGCUAAAUGUGACCUAGAUAAGGGUACAUAAUCACAUUUUGCACUGGGCUUUUUAUUGGUACAGUGUGAUACAACAUUUGGUGCAUAGUUCAGUUGAGUUCAGUCACCUGUUGUGGUUUCGUAUUGUCUUCCUAAUGCAAACCCUAACUUACCACUGUCACAGCACCUACAGAAGUACUUAAUUAUAGCAAAAUGAAAGAAAGUUAUAAGGGAUGUGAAAAACAGCUUAAAUAGACGAUGAGCGAUGAUGCAUGGCAAAAACAAUCUGAGAUUGAAUUAGUGCAUUAAGGACUAACACUCUGCAGCCAGGGUUCUUCUGUCAGCAGGUAUAUAACUUAUAUUCAACAGUUGUGCUCAAAAGUUUGCAUACCCUUGGAGAAUUGGUAAUAUAUGUACCAUUUUUAAAGAAAACAUGAGUGAGCAGGCAAAACACAUUUCUUUUAUUUCUUAUGGGAUUCAUAUUCAACUGUAGGUUAUAACAGAAUGGCACAAUCAUAAAACAAAACAUGACAACAAAGAAAAAAAAUGAAAUGACCCCUGUUCAAAAGUCUGCAUACCCUUAGUUCUUAAUACUGUGUAUUGCCCCCUUUAGCAUCAAUGACAGCGUGCAGUCUUUUGUAAUAGUUGUCUAUGAGGCCCCAAAUUCUUGCAGGUGGUAUAGCUGCUCAUUCGUCUUAGCAAAAUGCCUCCAGGUCAUGCAAAGUCUUUGGUCGUCUUGCAUGAAUCACACAUUUGAGAUCUCCCCAGAGUGGCUCGAUGAUAUUAAGGUCAGGAGACUGUGAUGGCCACUCCAGAACCUUCACCUUUUUCUGCUGUAACCACUGGAGGGUCAAAUUGGCCUUGUGCUUAGGGGUCAUUGUCGUGCUGGAAAGUCCAAGAGCGUCCCAUGCGCAGCUUUCGUGCAGAAGAAUGCAAAUUGUCUGCAUGUAUUUUCUGAUAACAUGCUGCAUUCAUCUUGCCAUCAAUUUUCACAAGAUUCCCCAUGCCUUUAGAGCUCACACACCCCCAAAACAAUAGUGAGCCACCACCAUUCUUCACAGUGGGGAUGGUAUUCUUUUCACUAUAGGCCUUGUUGACCCCUCUCGAAACAUAGCGCUUAUGGUUGUGACCAUAAAGCUCUACUUUGGUCUCGUCACUCCAAAUUACAGUGUGCCAGAAGCUGUGAGGCGUGUCAAGGUGUUGUCGGGCAUUUUGUAACCGGGUUUUUUUGUGGCACUGGCUUCUUUCUGGCAACUCGACCAUGCAGCUCAUUUUUGUUCAAGUAUCAUCGUAUUGUGCUCCUUGAAACAACCACACCGUCUUUUUCCAGAGCAGCCUGUAUUUCUCCUGAGGUUACCUGUGGGUUUUUCUUUGUAUCCCGAACAAUUCUUCUGGCAGUUGUGGCUGAAAUCUAACUGAUCUAACUGACCUUGACUUGGUAUCAAAAGAUCCCCGAAUUUUCCACUUCUUAAUAAGUGAUUGGACAGUGCUGACUGGCAUUUUCAAGGCUUUGGAUAUCUUUUUAUAUCCUUUUCCAUCUUUAUAAAGUUUCAUUACCUUGUUACGCAGGUCUUUUGACAGUUCUUUUCUGCUCCCCAUGGCUCAGUAUCUAGCCUGCUCAGUGCAUCCACGUGAGAGCUAACAAACUCAUUGACUAUUUAUGCACAGACACUAAUUGCAAUUUAAAAAGCCACAGGUGUGGGAAAUGAGCCUUUAAUUUCCAUUCAAACCUGUGUGUGUCACCUUGUGUGUCCGUAACAAGGCCAAACAUUCAAGGGUAUGUAAACUUUUGAUCAGGGCCAUUUGGGUGAUUUCUGUUAUCUUUAUGAUUUAAAAAGGAGCCAAACAACUAUGUGAUAAUAAAUGGCUUCAUAUGAUCACUAUCCGUAAAUAAAAGAAAAAUAAAAGUUUUUUUGCAUGAUCAGUCAUAUUUUCAAAAUCAGUGCCAAAAUUUCACAAUUUCUGCCAGGGUAUGCAAACUUUUGAGCACAACUGUAACUUAUAUUCAUAUUAAACAUGUAAUACAUGAUUUCAGUAUUCUCCUUUGUCUUCAAACACAAUGUCAAACUUUUUGUCAACCACCCAUUAACUAAUAUUAUCUUCCUAUCCAUCUUAAGGGGAUUUUCUUCUUUCUUCACACUUUUACAAUUCUCUGAGUUUUUUUUUUUUUUUGGGACAAGUAAUCGACCGAUCUUUAAAGUCCCCAGAAGACAUCCUCUCACAGGACUAUAAGUAGGUUGACCUGCAUCUCAUUUGGAUACCUCAAUAGGAAUCAAUAGGACUAAAGCCAUGAGAACUUUCUUGUUAUUAGUCCUAACUUUUGUAAUCAGCAUUAAAUCAAAAAGACUUAACACAGAGAGGAAUCUCUUGAAGGAAAGCAUAGACGAUGCACACAAAAUACUACAUAAUAGUUCAUACAAGAUUCUUCUCAACCAACAUGUAAAAGAUGUAUUUGGGACAAUGGGCUGCUCAGACAACACCCUUUGCCAAACAGAAAAGGUUCUGAAAAACUCAGAUCUGAAAAGCAGCAUGCUACACAGAAAUCUAUUUUCCUAUGCAGUCUAUACAAAGCACCUGCAUAACUGCAACAUCACAGCUUCAGUGGAAAUCACAAUGCGGGAGCUCCUGCAUUUCAUCAUAAAUUGUUGCCAAAGCAAAUACUCCAAACACGUAACUCACAUGGAACCCCCCAAAAAAACAUGAGAAAUAAUUCGACUUGCUGUUAAUCAGGACAAUGAGAUUUUCU